CUAUUCACAGUGGGCCCUUAGGAGUGUCGCUUACAGCCACACAGCAAACUACCCCGUCCCCGACAAACAACAUGUGAACCGGAGAUCUCCCCCUGUCCCAGUGCACUAGACACUUACAUCUCCUGCACUGGGCAAAGCACUCCACUGCAGAGUCACGGAAGGCCGAAGGCUGACGCAGCGCGCCCAGCGUGAAAGGAAGGGUAACACCCGCUAGUCUAUCUCAGAUAAUGUCAGUUUCUAAAAUGCACCAUUCUGCUGUUGAGUGCAUGCUGGGAAAGACUUGAUCCAGACAGGCCGUGCUGUCGUUCCUCUGCCACUCUGCUGCAGUGGCAUCCUGCAUCCUGCCUCCCUCCACACUCCUCCGUGUGUCAGGUAAUUACAACCACAGCAAGUCACUGCUGGAGGGUUAGCCUCAAACCUUUGUGCCACGCCAUCCAUCUUCGGAGAUGGCCAGCAAAGUUUUCGAACUGACCCUGCCUUUGGUAUUUGAGAAACAUUAGAGCAGUAAUAUUUCUCUCAACAUCAGGUCUAAAUGUUGUAAAUAGCAAGAUAUGAUUCUAGAAGUUUCUAUGGUGUUACUGCUGAGGUGCUUUUUUUAUUAAUACCUCCGUUUAUAUCUUUCUUUAUUCUUGUAAAGUAAGUUUUCCUUAGAAGGUGUUGAAAUAUAAAAGCUGUCAAAGCUCUCUUUAACUUGAUAUAUGUGCUCAAAUGUAGCGUCAUUUGCACCUACUGUUUGAAAAACACCCGUAGUCGCAUUUAAAUGUACAUUAUAUAACUUUUUAAAAACUUUUUUGAACACAAACAAUAUGAUAAUAGGAAUGAACAAAAACUAGAAAUAGAAGAGGAUUGCUACAACAAUUCAAUGUCGCGUGACGUUCAGCCUCGUUAUGGUCCAGCAGUUAAGGGUUAAGUUGCAGAGCAAAUUGGAGAAAAACAAGGUAAUCGUUCAAAGGUAAAAUAAAACAAAGACAGAUUCAGGAUUUUUUCAUUGUUUGCAUAUAUUUGAGCAGUAAAAUGAAACCGUAAGGAAGCAAAUGUUUACCUAUUUCAACUUAAAUUGCUGACAAAAUGAAUCAUUUUUGUUGUCCCUGCAGAACUAAGGUGCUAUAAUUGUCUGCUACUCUCAUGACAAGUUUAGAUCCAGGCCUCUAGAUCUUAAACCAAUACGUAGCUUAUUAAUAGAAUUUAUGUGCCGUGUACCUUCUUCUCGGGGACAGGCUGCCUAAUUAUUCCACGGGCUGAAUGAUAUUGGUGGACUUUAUUAAUGUUCCACCGUAUUGCCAGGGAUAACCAAUAAAUGCGCCACUGGGGAUUCCACCAAAUGAAAUGGGAAUAUUUCACACUUUUAAUGAAGCACUCUCCACGUGCACCACAUAUACCCUUAUUCAAAUAUGCAUAUGAUCCUUCAAAGACAUAUUAUUCCAAGUACGAGUAAGUGAUGGUGGCUGUCUGGCCUUUUACUACCGAAGAGCUGCUUUGAACCGCCUUGGGUUCCUCAGAAGAAAACAACAGCAUUGCAUACAGAGAAGAUUUGCCUCAUGCUUUUCAUCAUCCUUAUUAUUAUUAAAUUGCUGGCUAGGUGGGAUUAAUGAGUAUCUCGGGCGCAAUCUUUUUUUUUUUAAGGUUGUCUAAUGCUGUUUCAACUAAUAGAAAAAGUUUACAGUACAGAUAUUGGCAUUUACAGCAACGGAUCGGGACAUCAAAGCGCCAGCCUUGGAUUGUCUCACCUUUCAUCGGAACGUAAUGGAAAAUCAAACAUCAUUAUCAGUACAUAGAGCCAUUAAAGACAAACGUGCGUGUUAUUGCUCACACUCUGUUUUCCUCAGUGUUUUAUGUCCUCCCUCGGGAGAUGUUAAGGCCCGUUGCAGAUCGGCCAUAAAUCCCGAACUUGGUCUCCCUCUUUUGUCGCGGAGGGAUGUUGCUGUCUGGCCGAAGAUGGAGCGUGGAUGAAGGCUGGACAGAGACCUCUAUGACAGCCCCUCCGAGGACUGAAUGGACAGCGGCGUCUGAUGAAUGGCCUGCCUGCUUCUUAAUCACAAAGCACUCGCACCAAGUUUGAAAGUCGCCAAGUCAAGCAUCUUGUAUUCGGUGCUGUUGUCGCGGCUGUGGAGCGUGAGCCACAAGCUUCUGGCUGGCUCAAGUCGUCACUCUACAAUGAUGUUGUAGGAAGCAUGCGGACUUCAUUUGCAGAGCCCUUGAGGAGAACGAUGUUAUCAAGUAAAACACUAACAACGCGUUGCCAUGACGAAAGAAACGCACGUUAGCUCGGUUCAGGAUCCCCCUGAAUUCUGCACUUUUCAAUGGCCGGGUUAAAUUCAACACGAAAAUGCAAACCGCCAUGAAGAAAGACAAACAACCGCAAAUGCAUCCUUACUUUUCCAAAGAGGUCACGGAGACAUGCGCGACAGGACGGGCUCCUGAGUACACACAGCUCGCCGGGCUGCUUGUGUGUUCAACAAAACACACCACGCCUGAGAUAUAUUGUUUGUUUGAUAUUCAAAUACCUUUUCUUUUCAGUGAGUAAAUAAACCUCAGCCGCUACCCUGUAGAGUACAAUUUGAAGGCUGUGCCCGGGCCAAAUCUAAUUUGAUGAGUACUUACCAUGCUGAAACCCACAUCACUCUUCAGGCAUGACACAAAUGAGUAAUUCAGUGGUCAUUUAUAAUGAAGGGGCUGUUUUUAUCACAACUCUUGGUACGAACAAAUCAAUGUGACACCAGUGUUAUAUCUGAAUAAUUCAUCAGCGGUUAUUAGGCCCUUUCAUUUACAUGUAAUAAUUGGAAGAACUGCUGCACACGCGUCUGUAUGGCAAUGGUUGUGCUUAAGCUGUCAAGUGCAUGUAAAGGCAAAUAGACCUCUCAUACGUGGCGGUUUAUAGGUGUGUGCUUAACUGCUGGAUAUGACUUCUGAAGCGAUGCAACAAAAUUGUAGAUUGUUGAUUAACAUACCUUAAAUGGAAAAUGCGAGCCAGAAAUCAGCUGUAUUAUAUGUUGAGAAAUAUCAAACUGGCCCACUUGUCUUUACUCCAAUUGACUGCUCAAAACGAAUUUUGUCACAUUCCAUUGUUUCUCAAAUACUGAAGUGUUGAACAUUCUUCAGGGACACAGUAUGUAUGGUUAGAAUGAAUAUUAAUCAUGCACAUUUGUCGUGUGUAGGGCUAAUCUGUAUGUUGUUUCUUCACAGGCAUCGUACCUGUUGUUUUAAAGAUUGCCGUGGUUAGACAACCUCUCAAAUAAGGUUAUCUAUUUUAGAUAGCACUGUUUUUGGUUUAGAGACCAAAUAUCAAACCUAUCGUUCUUAUGUAAGAUUUGAGAGAAAGUUAUUUUUCAACAGGUCAAUACUUUCAAUAAAAAACACAAUAUCA